rnacentral:tRNA from 2 species
GGGGAUGUAGCUCACGCUGGGAGAGCGCCGCCUUUGCAAGGCGGAGGUAGCGAGUUCGAGUCUCGCCUUCUCCA